rnacentral:tRNA from 1 species
GCCGGCGUAGCUCAACUGGCAGAGCAGGUGCCUUGUAAGCACCAGGUUGGGGGUUCGAGUCCUCUCGCCGGCU